CCCACAGACCUGGUUAAGUUAUGGGGGUCUGUAUAUACCCCCACUGUGACACACCUACCCCUCGACCCCCGUGGCCAAAUCCAACCUUCGGCCCCUGCGCUCCUUUUUAGGAUAGACACGGCGGACAACAAAUACUCCCUCUGCUCCGACACACAAAGGUCGUGUAAGUGUUCGGAACAUCUACAGAUGACAUCACUUAACUCAGAGGGAUGACUCACACACAGCAGGAGCAACUGGACAUGAGUGAGUGAGCUGAGGAGAGACAAAGUGUUGUAUAUCCACAACCUCAUCCUUCCUGCAUGGACAACUGACGUAACCGUUUCCAUGAAAGUGGGUCAUUUGUGGAGCUCUUCACCUCUCACUGGUUUCACAUGACUCAAGCUCAUCUCAACCCAGAGCAUCACGUGGAUUCAAUAUCUCAGCGAGGUCGAACACCAGCCGUCACAAAGCGCUGAAAGUCCAGCGUCGGUGUCACUUGCUGCAGCUUCAUCCUUUCACGACCCAGACGCCCAGUAAGAGCGGAAGCACGGAAAUGAUGAGGCCGUUAACAGCAAGAAGGCUUUAAUCAAAAGCACAGGCUUCUUUUUUUAUUGACCGUUGCACGCACAGGAACAGGCGGUGCUGGGGGUCGGAGAAGGGCGGCUCCGAGUCAUCCAUGGGCAGCACCAGGCGCGUGCCCCGCAUCACCAGCUCGUGAUCCCCGUACGUGAGCUCCCUGUCCAAGUCGUCGGCGCCGAUGCCGGAAAAGGCUGCACCGCCGCUGCUGUGUGCACCUGAGCCAUCCGUGCUGACGGUGAUGUCGCCAUAGGUCAGGUUCAUGUCCCUGUCCGUCAGGAUGAGGGACGUGCAGUGUGUGACCAGGGUGGAGGGGAGACGUACCGUAUGCGCUGGCAGGACAACAUCUGGGUGGUGCCACCUCCACAAACCCAAACAGUGAAGAAAACCACGAGCAGCGUGGUGGAAAACAUCAUCUGACGGGCGUACGUCGCGGUGUCCCUGAUGGACAGGGCAAACGUCAUGGCACCCCGGAGUCCUACAGAAACACAGCAAAGUGUUGCAAGCAAAUGAGCAUGAAAGUUUUGACAUACGACCGACCGGAGGCAUGUGGUCGCGUGACAGGAAACAGAGGUUUCACUGUGAACCUGCAAACAUCAUCAUGUGUUGAAAGUUGGAUCUGAUUUUGUUGCGUCGUCCCAGAUUAAGAAGGAAUGACAGAGGGUAGAUGUUAGCGGCUCUUCCCAAGAACACAGCCAGCUGCGGGACAGAGGUUAAGGAGGCAAAACAAAGCUAAAACACAACACAAGAGAGGACAAGUUGCUUAUUUUUUUAUUGGUUAUUAAUGGUAAUUUAGUGCUGUAAUUCCUGAAAACCACUGGUGUAGAUUUGCCUCGACUGGUAAAUAAGAGAAAGUACCAUGCCCAAGUUUCACACGCAAAAGAUACGAAAGCUCCGACGACGAACAUCGGAUUAAAGAUGUGGUUCUGGAAGGUGAACAGGGUCAGGCCCAUGUAGGAGAAGAUGAAGUUUUCCGCCAAGAAAUUCAGCAGUUCAAACAGCUGCAACAUACAAGACACACCUUUGUUGAGUGACAGUUAAUGUAUGUCCAGCUCAAACAAGCUCAACAUACGGUACACACGCUUUUUCCACGUUAUACAUGACAUUACAUGAGCUUCACUAGACAAUUUAAUGGAACAUUUUUGAAAGUAGACAACAAUAAUUACUGAUGUGCUCUACGACUACCAUAUGAUUUUAUCACCCAGAAACUCCCUUUUUUGCUUCAACUGUUGACACGAUGACAACUUUUUGCUACUUUCAAAUUUAAAGACAAAAACAAACACUUGAAGUAUGUUGUGAAAGUGUGCAAACGGUGCAGCGACAUUGCGACAUUGCUCCAGGUCUAACCUGUUUAGUUCGGUCCUGGGACUCGGGAGACAGGUUGUUGUACGUGUAAUGGGCCUGAGUGAUUCCACAGAACAGCACUGCUACCACACCUGCACCACAUCAGGAAAGACACAGAGGGAGGACAGUUGGAAGCAUCGACACACAACAAUAUGAUGCAUUGACAACUCAAGAACAGUCCUCAGUGCUCUUAAUAAUUGGGGCCAUUUUAUGCAAAUUACUAAUUAAAAUGGUGUGUGUGUGUGUGUGUGUGUGUGUGUGUGUGUGUGUGUGUGUGUGUAUUACCAGUGAAACCACAAGCCUCAGCCAACAGGAAUGUGCUCCAUGACAUGAGGAAGAAAAGCGCCGUCUCCAACAGCUGGAAAUCCCUCAACUUGGUGAACUUGGUCACGUACGGACAACAGUCAAGGUGUUUAACGAAAACGCUCUUGCUGUAACCAGCAUGGAAGAUGAUGGGCGGGAGAAGAAUGUUGAAGAACACUUCAGGGUCAAAGGUAACCUGAGUAACACACGGACACAUAAAAACAUGACAAUAACAAUAAUAAUAAUAAUAAUAACAACAAAGUACAAAGUUUGGCCCACAUUAGAUUUGUUGUCCAUAGACAUACAAACUCACAAUACACACAAAGCACUAACCAAUACAACUUCAAUACACUACAAGAUCGCACAAACUACUUUGUGACAAAAUGCAACUGUACCUUUCGCAGCAUCUCAUUGUCGGCCACAUCCUUCGAUUCAGUGGGGUUGAUCUCCCCCUUCAGUGUGUACUCAUAAAAUUUGCCACUGAAAUUGACCAGCAGGGUGGCAGGGCUCACAUUAACCUGGCAACUCAGCGUGACGUUGCUAACGUUCCGAGGAACAUGGAUGCCAUAGCGCAAGAUCACGCCAACGAUUAAGCCUGAGACAAGCGUUAACAAAGAGAAGAGAGAAUCAAUUCAUGUCAGAUUUUUCUGGUGCAAAACAGGAAAAACAAUCAACAGAGAAAUGUAGACUAGAUGAUGGGGUGGUUACUCUCCUGCAGCUGCCUAAAUCUGCAUUUUUAUUUUGGAAGAACAGAUUCAGAAACUAAAUGUCAAAUGCUUGUGAAGUGAAGAGGGAAGUGAGAACUACAGAAACCAUCGCUCCAUGUUUAUCCAUGUUUAUACCAGAAUAAGUGAGAGAGAGAGAAUUAAUUUGAAAUUGUGGAUGACAUGUAGAGGAUUUCAUUUUCCCCAAGUGAAGAAAAGGUAAUAGACUCUCCAGGGUAAAUAAAGGUUAGGAAUAAAUAAAUUAAGUUACACAGAGCACUCAAGUCAGCAUGUGUAUUCUAUCACAUAAUCACCACAACAUUAGAGCUGAACAUUAACUGUUUUCAAAUUGAAAUUGCUGUUUGAAAACAAUACAAUUACAAAAUCCAUGAGGCUGCGAUUUUAUUGUGUCUAUAUGUCAAUUGUCAAAAUGUUAAAAACAAUCCAUAUGUUUUAGUUCUCAUCCCAGUAUAGUAGUUCAUAUUUUGAUGGUGUCUGGUGUGGCACUGUUCCAUUUCGUUUUAAAUCUAUAACAAAGUGAAGGUUGAAAUAAAGCUCAACUAUGAAAAAGUUAUACAGCGAAUCAAAUAAUUGUUCAUAAUCGGAAUCAUUCAGCCCCAAUAAAUAUAAAACCGUGAACAGAAAUUGAAGGAAUGUGCUUGGUUUGUUUCAACCAGUGAGUCGUGAGUGGGGUUUUUCCUGACAGGUGCAGGGAAAGUUUCUGUUAGUUACUUAGUGAAGGAGGAACCAGCCAUUCAUGCUUGGCAUUACCAGGCCACAGAGUGGAGAAGUGACAUUUUGUGUUGCUGUUGUUUUUGUAUGGUAUAGUGGUUCCCUUUCAUGGCCCAGGAGGCUCAGCUCUUUAAGGUUUCAUUUACAAAACCAAGCAUUGUGAAAGAGGGCGUCUGUGUAACUAAGCUUCUUAGCCCGCAGUCUCAAAUGCGCCACUGGGUCGUUAAAAAUGAAGUCAUUUCCAACCCUAAGUACAACACGAGAGUUUCGCUCUCUCACCAUAAAUCAUUGCCAGCCCAGUUUCGUGCAGGAACCUGAAGCGCCGGUGUUUGAAGAGCCAAAUGGUGAGGAUGGUGAGGGUGAGCAGCAUGAUGAAGAUGAGCAAGUCUGCGCUGUCCUGCCUGUGGCUCUCCUCAGCCUUCUUCUCUGUCACGAUGGUGUUCUCCAUGGAAUUGCUCUCCUCCGGAGAUAAUGAUGAUGCUCGGCACACACAGAUGCCCACAGACAGGAUCACCAGCAGCAGCAGCCACAGCGUCCUCGUCGCCCUCCACGCGCCGUUGACAGUCACUCUGAACACCAUUGCGGCUCGUCCACGGCCAAACGCUGCAAAGUCGUCGUGGAUAAAAAGCAAACUUUAGGGCGAAAUUGUAUUUAGGGGACUGGUAAUGGGGGGAGACGACAGCAGAAAGACGACAGCAACAGCGCUAUUGACUCUGACCUGGAAAUGAAAACUAACAUUUCCAGAAAUUCUACAGUGUUUAUUUCAAACUAAAAGCACCGCGUCACGAUGCAGUUGCUUUUAAACCACCCAUAACAUAUUAUGCAUAUUUUUUCACUUUAUAUUACUUUUAUUGGAUGAAGAUAUACAUUGUGUCGUUUACUGGAGAUGUAUUUCCGCAGAUGAUUAAACUAGUUCCCGCAAAAUAAUCUUAUUUUGAAAUAUUCAAUUUCCUUCGUGUUGGACAGGAAGUGAACAUGUAUAUUUACAGACGUUAUCCUUUCUAUUUAAUUUUUACCGCUUAUGUGAAGUCACAUUUAAAUUUGUAUAACCUGAUGUUCUUAGAAAAUGAAGACGUUUAUUCUCAACACUGCAUGUACUACAGCAAUAUUACCAUCAUAAAAACAGCUAACUAACAAUGUGUCAUUACACCAUUGUACUGGAAAUACAAGACUUGAGCUUUUCUAGUCUCUCCAGCUUUACAGAAAUUGAGUAAUAAACAGGCAGAUUUAUGAAAGAAAAAUGCAAAUGGUCAUAAAAGCAUGAAAUUUAGCAAUUUUUGAUAAACAAUUAAAUGUUGAUAAAA